rnacentral:rRNA from 1 species
UAAUACGGAGGGUGCAAGCGUUGCUCGGAAUUAUUGGGCGUAAAGCGCGUGUAGGCGGUUUUGCAAGUCUGGUGUGAAAUCCCGGGGCUCAACCCCGGAAGUGCAUUGGAUACUGCUUAACUAGAGGACGAGAGAGGAUGGUGGAAUUCCUGGUGUAGGGGUGAAAUCCGUAGAUAUCAGGAGGAACAUCGGUGGCGAAGGCGGCCAUCUGGCUCGUAUCUGACGCUGAGACGCGAAAGCGUGGGGAGCAAACAGGAUUAGAUACCCUGGUAGUCCACGCCCUAAACGAUGGAUACUAGUCGUCGGGACACCUAAUUGUCUCGGUGACGUAGCUAACGCGUUAAGUAUCCCGCCUGGGAAGUACGGUCGCAAGAUUA